UACGAAGGGGGCUAGCGUUGCUCGGAAUCACUGGGCGUAAAGCGCACGUAGGCGGAUUGUUAAGUCGGGGGUGAAAUCCUGGAGCUCAACUCCAGAACUGCCUUCGAUACUGGCGAUCUUGAGUCCGGGAGAGGUGAGUGGAACUCCGAGUGUAGAGGUGAAAUUCGUAGAUAUUCGCAAGAACACCAGUGGCGAAGGCGGCUCACUGGCCCGGUACUGACGCUGAGGUGCGAAAGCGUGGGGAGCAAACAGG
rnacentral:rRNA from 1 species